GUAUGGCUCAGAUUGAACGCUGGCGGCAGGCCUAACACAUGCAAGUCGAGCGGUAGCACAGAGAGCUUGCUCUCGGGUGACGAGCGGCGGACGGGUGAGUAAUGUCUGGGAAACUGCCUGAUGGAGGGGGAUAACUACUGGAAACGGUAGCUAAUACCGCAUAAUGUCGCAAGACCAAAGUGGGGGACCUUCGGGCCUCAUGCCAUCAGAUGUGCCCAGAUGGGAUUAG
rnacentral:rRNA from 1 species